rnacentral:rRNA from 1 species
AGAACGAACGCUGGCGGCAGGCCUCAAACAUGCAAGUCUAGGGGGUGCAGCAAUGCAUCACCGGCGGACGGGUGCGUAACACGUGGGAAUAUACCUUUCGGUACGGAACAACGCAGGGAAACUUGCGCUAAUACCGUAUACGUCCUUACGGAGAAAGAUUUAUCGCCGAAGGAUUAGCCCGCGUAGGAUUAGCUAGUUGGUGAGGUAAUGGCUCACCAAGGCUCCGAUCCUUAGCUGUUCUGAGAGGAAGAUCAGCCACACUGGGACUGAGACACGGCCCAGACUCCUACGGGAGGCAGCAGUUGGAAUCUUGGACAAUGGGGAACCCUGAUCCAGCCAUGCCGCGUGAGUGAUGAAGGCCUUCGGGUUGUAAAACUCUUUCGACGGGACGAUAAUGACGGUACCGUAGAAGAAGCUCCGGCUAACUUCGCGCCAGCAGCCGC